GAGGCUCAGAUCUGGGUUGCUGAUAAACUAGGCAUCUAGUCCAGGGGCUGCUGGAGGCAGGAGGAGCCAAGACCUUCUCCUUGAGCUAAGAUGAACUUAGGAGGCCAGGAACAAGGUCAGGAGGGCAGGGAGGAGCUCAGAAGGCCGAGGACAGGCUUGGGAGGCUGAGGACUCGCUCAGUGAAUGACUUCCAGGUCACAAUUAGCUCCUGGAUGUUUACAGACAGAGUUGCAGAGACGUUUUGCAUUUCUCUGAUGGCCAGUGAUGGUGAGCAUUUUUUCAUGUGUUUUUUGGCUGCAUAAAUGUCUUCUUUUGAGAAGUGUCUGUUCAUAUCCUUUGCCCACUUUUUGAUGCGGUUGUUUGUUUUUUUCUUGUAAAUUUGUUUGAGUUCAUUGUAGAUUCUGGGGCGUUCCUUCCAGAUGCUACAGAUGAUGCCCCGUGGCAGCUCUUCCCACAGAGGGUGACUUUUAUGAAGUCCUCAGGGGCUGCACCUCAGCAUUUGGCAGCCCAGCUUGAACCCGAGCCCCUUUACUUCACAGCUCUGAACCUCACUUCUUCAACUGUGAAAUGGGAACAGGAAUGGCAAAGCCUGCCUUGGAGGCUGCCUGAGUACCGAGGGACCCAAUCAACGCGUGCAGUGUGCGUGGCAGCGCGGGAAGCUGCAUACUGUUCACAUCUCCUCCUCUUCUCCAACAGUCCUGGGUGCAGUGUGUGCGGGAAGCUGCAUACUAUUCACGUUUCCUCCUCUUCUCCAAAAGUCCUUAUGUCGUCCAUGGCAUGGGCGGGAAGCUGCAUACUGUUCACAUUUCCUCCUCUUCUCCAACAGUCCUGGGUGCAGUGUGUGCGGGAAGCUGCAUACUGUUCACAUCUCCUCCUCUUCUCCAACAGUCCUGGGUGCAGUGUGUGCGGGAAGCUGCAUACUAUUCACAUUUCCUCCUCUUCUCCAACAGUCCUUGUGUUGUCCAUGGCAUGGGCGGGAAGCUGCACACUGUUCACGUCUCCUCUUCUCCAACAGUCCUUAUGUCGUCCAUGGCAUGGGCGGGCCAGCACUGGGCCUCAGUGCUUCUGAUUGUGCCAUUUCAACUUCAGUGAGACGCAUUUUUUUCCCACUGGCAGCUCAGGUAAGUCCCUUACCUCCCCAAAACAGCACCCUGUGAAAUCACCUUCUUGCAGCCGGGUCAGACAGUUCGCCUUGUAGGUUUAAUGAACGGUCUCCUGCAUUUAUCUCAGCUACUGCAGCCCAGUGUCUGGGGAAAGGCUGAGGGUGGUCUGAGGGCUGUGCUGGGCACUUUUUCAGGCUGCCAAAGCCUGUUCUUGGGAGGCAGCUGACCUCAUCAAAAGGAGUUCAAGCAAGGGGCUGAGGGGCCGCAUCUCCCGAGCACGGCAGACCUGGGGAAUCAGUUUGGCCUUCCUUGUUCAGGUUGGGGACACCUCGCCCCAUCACCCAUCCCACCACACUAGGCUCUGCAUCUCCCUGUCUGCUCCUUUACAACAGUUUACUAUGGAAUGCCCUCAGGGAUACAGGAGUGCAUCCAGGUGAAGCCUGUGGGGGAAAUCCUACCACGUCUGCCAUUUGCUGAACUUCUCAAAACUUAGCCUCAGGACCAUUAAGUCUCCCCUGGUUUUGGUGGGGAUGACCAGCUUUAUGCCCCAUUUCCUUAUGCCUGGGCAUGCGAUGGACAGGACACUGACCUCUCCAUUCCCAGUGCAGGCAUCCGGGGGCAAAUACUCCCUGGCCACCUUUGACUCUCAGCUGGCUGCUCCAUGCUGCCCGCGUCUUAAGACCAGGAAAUACUCCAUAUUUGCCCCUUUCUAUUGGCCUUUUCCUGAGCCCAGCUUAGAACAUGCAAAACCCAACUAUUACUGUAACAUAAUUAAUUACUCCUAUUCCUACGUCACUGUUAAUAAGAUCUCCUAGGCCAUUUCCACGUCUCAGGUCUAAUGAAGGCGCUAGAAACGCAGAAGAGAAGUAAGAUACACUGUGCCAGCCUUUGGAGGCUGCCGAGUAGAUGACCCUGGAAUGUUCCCUUUUCCGCACUGCGCUGGACAUGCCAGUUAAAUGACCCUCAGUAUUACCUUUUCCACAUUGCACUUGAC
rnacentral:lncRNA from 1 species